GGNNNGUGCUNACNCAUGNNNNNNAACGAUGAACCACUUCGGUGGGGANUNGUGGCGAACGGGUGAGUAACACGUGGGCAAUCUGCCCUGCACUCUGGGACAAGCCCUGGAAACGGGGUCUAAUACCGGAUAUUGACCUUCACGGGCAUCUGUGAGGUUCGAAAGCUCCGGCGGUGCAGGAUGAGCCCGCGGCCUAUCAGCUUGUUGGUGAGGUAAUGGCUCACCAAGGCGACGACGGGUAGCCGGCCUGAGAGGGCGACCGGCCACACUGGGACUGAGACACGGCCCAGACUCCUACGGGAGGCAGCAGUGGGGAAUAUUGCACAAUGGGCGAAAGCCUGAUGCAGCGACGCCGCGUGAGGGAUGACGGCCUUCGGGUUGUAAACCUCUUUCAGCAGGGAAGAAGCGAAAGUGACGGUACCUGCAGAAGAAGCGCCGGCUAACUACGUGCCAGCAGCCGCGGUAAUACGUAGGGCGCAAGCGUUGUCCGGAAUUAUUGGGCGUAAAGAGCUCGUAGGCGGCUUGUCACGUCGGUUGUGAAAGCCCGGGG
rnacentral:rRNA from 1 species